AUUGAACGCUGGCGGCAGGCCUAACACAUGCAAGUCGAACGAGUGGAGGACUGGUGAGUAAUGUCUGGAAAACUGCCUGAUGGAGGGGGCUGACUACUGGAAACGGUAGCUAAUACCGCAUACCAUGAGAUGUGCCCAGAUGGGAUUAGCUUGUUGGUGGGGUAACGGCUCACCAAGGCGACGCUCCCUAGCUGGUCUGAGAGGAUGACCAGCCACACUGGAACUGAGACACGGUCCAGACUCCUACGUGAGGCAGCAGUGGGGAAUAUUGCACAAUGGGCGCAAGCCUGAUGCAGCCAUGCCGCGUGUAUGAAGAAGGCUUUCGGGUUGUAAAGUACUUUCAGCGGGGAGGCGUUACCCGCAGAAGAAGCACCGGCUAACUCCGUGCCAGCCGCCGCGGUAAUUC
rnacentral:rRNA from 1 species